rnacentral:rRNA from 1 species
AGUGAACGCUGGCGGUAGGCCUAACACAUGCAAGUCGAACGGCAGCACAGUAAGAGCUUGCUCUUACGGGUGGCGAGUGGCGGACGGGUGAGGAAUACAUCGGAAUCUACUUUUUCGUGGGGGAUAACGUAGGGAAACUUACGCUAAUACCGCAUACGACCUACGGGUGAAAGCAGGGGAUCUUCUGACCUUGCGCGAAUGAAUGAGCCGAUGGCGGAUUAGCUAGUUGGCGGGGUAUAGGCCCACCAAGGCGACGAUACGUAGCUGGUCUGAGAGGAUGAUCAGCCACACUGAAGCUGAGACACGGUCCAGACUCCGACGGGCGGCAGCAGUGGGGAAUAUUGGACAAUGGGCGGAAGCCUGAUCCAGCCAUACCGCGUGGGUGAAGAAGGCCUGCGGGUUGUAAAGCCCUUUUGUUGGGAAAGAAAAGCAUCAGGUUAAUACCCCGCUGUUCGGACGGUACCCAAAGAAUAAGCACCGGCAAACUCCUU